UUAAUUGAAGAGUUUGAUCAUGGCUCAGAUUGAACGCUGGCGGCAGGCCUAACACAUGCAAGUCGAGCGGUAACAGGGGAAGCUUGCUUCUCGCUGACGAGCGGCGGACGGGUGAGUAAUGUAUGGGGAUCUGCCCGAUAGAGGGGGAUAACCACUGGAAACGGUGGCUAAUACCGCAUAAUCUCUUAGGAGCAAAGCAGGGGAACUUCGGUCCUUGCGCUAUCGGAUGAACCCAUAUGGGAUUAGCUAGUAGGUGAGGUAAUGGCUCACCUAGGCGACGAUCCCUAGCUGGUCUGAGAGGAUGAUCAGCCACACUGGGACUGAGACACGGCCCAGACUCCUACGGGAGGCAGCAGCGGGGAAUAUUG
rnacentral:rRNA from 1 species